CACCGCGGUUAUACGAGAGGCCUAAGUUGACAGACAGCGGCGUAAAGAGUGGUUAAGGAAAACGCAAAACUAAAGCCGAACGCCUUCAGAACUGUUAUACGUCUUCGAAGGUAUGAAGCCCAACCACGAAAGUGGCUUUAUCCCUCCUGAACCCACGAAAGCUAAGGAA
rnacentral:rRNA from 1 species